GACGAACGCUGGCGGCGUGCUUAACACAUGCAAGUCGAACGGAAAGGCCCUGCUUUUGUGGGGUGCUCGAGUGGCGAACGGGUGAGUAACACGUGAGUAACCUGCCCUUGACUUUGGGAUAACUUCAGGAAACUGGGGCUAAUACAGGAUAGGAGCUCCUGCUGCAUGGUGGGGGUUGGAAAGUUUCGGCGGUUGGGGAUGGACUCGCGGCUUAUCAGCUUGUUGGGGGGGUAGUGGCUUACCCAGGCUUUGACGGGUAGUCGGCCUGAGAGGGUGACCGGCGACAUUGGGACUGAGAUAGGGCCCAGACUCCUACGGGUGGCAGCAGUGGGGAAUAUUGCACAAUGGGCGGAAGCCUGAUGCAGCAACCCCGCGUGCGGGAUGACGGCCUUCGGGUUGUAAACCGCUUUCGCCUGUGACGAAGCGUGAUUGACGGUAAUGGGUAAAGAAGCACCGGCUAACUACGUG
rnacentral:rRNA from 1 species